AGUCAAGUAAUUAAGUGCAUGUGGUGGAUGCCUUGGCAGUCAGAGGCGAUGAAAGACGUGAUAGCCUGCGAAAAGCUCCGGGGAGGCGGCAAAUAUCCUUUGAUCCGGAGAUGUCUGAAUGGGGGAACCCACCUACUUUAAGGUAGGUAUUGCAACAUGAAUACAUAGUGUUGCAAGGCGAACGAGGGGAAGUGAAACAUCUCAGUACCCUUAGGAAAAGAAAUCAAUUGAGAUUCCCUCAGUAGCGGCGAGCGAACGGGGAUCAGCCCAUUAAGUUAUGUGUGUUUUAGUGGAACGCUCUGGGAAGUGCGAACGUAGAGGGUGAUAUUCCCGUACACGAAAGGGCACACAUAAUGAUGACGAGUAGGGCGAGGCACGUGAAACCUUGUCUGAAUAUGGGGGGACCAUCCUCCAAGGCUAAAUACUCCUGACUGACCGAUAGUGAACCAGUACCGUGAGGGAAAGGCGAAAAGAACCCCUGUGAGGGGAGUGAAAUAGAUCCUGAAACCGCAUGCAUACAAGCAGUGGGAGCACCUUCGUGGUGUGACUGCGUACCUUUUGUAUAAUGGGUCAGCGACUUAUAUUCAGUAGCGAGGUUAACCGUAUAGGGGAGCCGUAGAGAAAUCGAGUCUUAAUAGGGCGUUUAGUUGCUGGGUAUAGACCCGAAACCAGGCGAUCUAUCCAUGAGCAGGUUGAAGGUUGGGUAACACUAACUGGAGGACCGAACCCACUGUCGUUGAAAAGCCAGGGGAUGACUUGUGGAUAGGGGUGAAAGGCUAAUCAAGCCUGGUGAUAGCUGGUUCUCCCCGAAAGCUAUUUAGGUAGCGCCUCGGACGAAUACCAUAGGGGGUAGAGCACUGUUUCGGCUAGGGGGUCAUCCCGACUUACCAAACCGAUGCAAACUCCGAAUACCUAUGAGUACUAUCCGGGAGACAGACUGCGGGUGCUAACGUCCGUAGUCAAGAGGAAAACAAUCCAGACCGCCAGCUAAGGCCCCAAAAUCAUAGUUAAGUGGGAAACGAUGUGGGAAGGCAUAGACAGCUAGGAGGUUGGCUUAGAAGCAGCCACCCUUUAAAGAAAGCGUAAUAGCUCACUAGUCGAGUCGGCCUGCGCGGAAGAUGUAACGGGGCUAAAACUAUGUGCCGAAGCUGCGGAUGUAUACUUUGUAUACGUGGUAGGGGAGCGUUCUGUAAGCCGAUGAAGGUGUGUUGAGAAGCAUGCUGGAGGUAUCAGAAGUGCGAAUGCUGACGUGAGUAACGACAAAACGGGUGAAAAACCCGUUCGCCGAAAGACCAAGGGUUCCAGUCCAACGUUAAUCGGGCUGGGUGAGUCGACCCCUAAGGCGAGGCCGAAAGGCGUAGUCGAUGGGAAAAUGGUUAAUAUUCCAUUACUUCUGUGUAAUGCGAUGAGAGGACGGAGAAGGCUAAAUCAGCCUGGCGUUGGUUGUCCAGGUGAAAGGAUGUAGGCAUGUAUCUUAGGCAAAUCCGGGGUACUCUAUGCUGAGAUCUGAUAGCAAGCUGUACUUGUACAGCGAAGUGGUUGAUGCCAUGCUUCCAGGAAAAGUCUCUAAGCUUCAGUUACACAGGAAUCGUACCCGAAACCGACACAGGUGGUCAGGUCGAGUAGACCAAGGCGCUUGAGAGAACUCUGCUGAAGGAACUAGGCAAAAUGGUACCGUAACUUCGGGAGAAGGUACGCUGUUGUUGGUGAUGGAACUCGCUUCCUGAGCUGACGACAGCCGCAGAAACCAGGCCGCUGCAACUGUUUAUUAAAAACAUAGCACUCUGCAAACACGAAAGUGGACGUAUAGGGUGUGAUGCCUGCCCGGUGCUGGAAGGUUAAUUGAUGGGGUUAGCGUAAGCGAAGCUCUUGAUCGAAGCCCCAGUAAACGGCGGCCGUAACUAUAACGGUCCUAAGGUAGCGAAAUUCCUUGUCGGGUAAGUUCCGACCUGCACGAAUGGCAUAAUGAUGGCGGCGCUGUCUCCAGCAGAGGCUCAGUGAAAUCGAAAUCGCUGUGAAGAUGCAGUGUACCCGCGGCUAGACGGAAAGACCCCGUGAACCUUUACUGCAGCUUGACACUGAACUUUGACCUUACUUGUGUAGGAUAGGUGGGAGGCUUUGAAGCUGGAACGCUAGUUCCAGUGGAGCCGUCCUUGAAAUACCACCCUGGUAAUGUUGAGGUUCUAACUCUGUCCCGUGAUCCGGGACGAGGACCGUGUCUGGUGGGUAGUUUGACUGGGGCGGUCUCCUCCUAAAGAGUAACGGAGGAGUACGAAGGUGCGCUCAGCGUGGUCGGAAAUCACGCGUAGAGUAUAAAGGCAAAAGCGCGCUUAACUGCGAGACCCACAAGUCGAGCAGGUACGAAAGUAGGUCUUAGUGAUCCGGUGGUUCUGUAUGGAAGGGCCAUCGCUCAACGGAUAAAAGGUACUCUGGGGAUAACAGGCUGAUACCGCCCAAGAGUUCAUAUCGACGGCGGUGUUUGGCACCUCGAUGUCGGCUCAUCUCAUCCUGGGGCUGAAGCAGGUCCCAAGGGUAUGGCUGUUCGCCAUUUAAAGAGGUACGCGAGCUGGGUUUAGAACGUCGUGAGACAGUUCGGUCCCUAUCUACCGUGGGCGCUGGAAAUUUGAGAGGAUCUGCUCCUAGUACGAGAGGACCAGAGUGGACGAACCUCUGGUGUACCGGUUGUGACGCCAGUCGCAUCGCCGGGUAGCUAUGUUCGGAAGGGAUAACCGCUGAAAGCAUCUAAGCGGGAAGCCUACCUCAAGAUAAGAUUUCCCUAGGACUUUAUGUCCUCUAAAGAGCCGUUCGAGACUAGGACGUUGAUAGGUUGGAUGUGGAAGCAUAGUGAUAUGUGAAGCUGACCAAUACUAAUUGCUCGUGAGGCUUGACUAU
rnacentral:rRNA from 1 species